rnacentral:tRNA from 1 species
GUGGGUAUAGCUCAGUGGUAGAGCACUUGCCUAGCAUGCAUGAGUCUCUGGGUUUGAUCCUUGGUACUGAGA